rnacentral:rRNA from 1 species
AGUUUUGAGCUAAAUAUAUUUAUAAUAUUAGUUAUUUAUGAAGGUGUUGUAAAACCUUUAUUUAAAAUUAUAUUUAGGGGUGAUAGGCCUUUCAAAAACUAAGAUAUCUUGAAUCUAAUUAAAAGUAUGUAGUACAACUUACACAACUAUUAAGUGAUUAGGCUUUAUAGAAUUAUUAACCUAUAAGAUUUUAUUUACUAUAAUUUAAUAAUUAAGUACAUAAAUAUAUUAAUAUACAUAUAUUAUUGUUUAUAAAAGAGUAAUUAGAUAGAUUUAAGUUCAUAUUUCUUAUAAUAAUGUUAAUAUUAGUAUUAAGAUUAUAUUUAUAUGAUGAACUCGGCAAAAAUACUUCUCAACUGUUUAUCAAAAACAUAACUAUGUGAAUGAAUACAUAGCGGUUUCUGCUCAA